AGAAGCAUAUAAGGACAGAAGAGGAUGAUGAACGAAGUAAGAACUAUUGUUUAAUCCUUUUUAUUGGUGAGUUUAGCACUGAAGUAUUUGAAGCUUUUUUUAAAUCUUAUGUGGUUUUAUUUUGACACUGUACAUACGAGAGGGAAGAGAGUGAGGAUGAACAAUUAACGAUCUGAAGCUGGUUCGUCUUCAUUGACCAACUCUCGUUCUCUGCGCUUUGCUAUGGCUUUAAAGUCAAAUGAAAACUCUCUCGUAAAAAUCCAACGAAGAGUCUCCUCUCUUGUAAGUUGUAAAUAUAGUGUUGAAGAAGAAGCGUACAAGGGGACAGAGAAGUAUGUACGAGAUGGAAAAAAUAGAGAAUGAACAAUUCAUAACCCGAAGUUGGUUCGUCUUCACUGAACAACCCUAGUUGUGUGCGCUUUGCUAUGUCUUCAUAAUCAAAGGAAAAUUCUCUGAGUGGAAUUUUACAGGAGAAAACAUUUCUUCUGCAAACAAUGCUUGUAUAGCCAUCGAAGAAAUAACAUUCAAGGUAACACCAAUAUGUUGUUUAUUCUUGAUGUAUACUUGAAGUUUUUGGUCAAGUACAAACUCGUGAAUGAUCAGAGGUUAAUAUAUAUUUAAGUUUGGGCACAUUGUCACACCAAUUCUGAUUGAUGUUGUCUCUUCGUUGGAUUCAAUUAUUCAAUAUGGAGAAGUGAUUCAGCAGCCUUAUAAAUCCAAUAUUUUAUUGGUCAUGUCUAACUAUGUCUUUAUUUUUUGGUGAAUAUAAGGCACAAGUUUUGAGCAAUGCAACUACACUACUUGAACAUAAUCCAAUAAACCUAGAUGUUUACAAUACAAUUACCCAUGGAAGACUAGCAUCGGUUCGUCUAGACCUCGUUCCACCACUCUUUGAAUACUUUAUGGAGAGUAAAAUGAUUCUAAAUCCCAAAAAAACAAGAAAUUGGAAACGUUAGCAAACCUAAUUUUUUGGAUUGAGAGUCUUUUUACUCUCCAUGAAGUACUUCAAGUGUGGUGGAAAGAGGUCUGUACGAACCCGUGCUAGUAUCCCAUGGUAAUAGCACUGUUAACAGCUAGGUCAAUUGGCUUGUUGAUUAGAUAAUGUAAUUGCAUUCCUAAAAAAUUUUGCCUUCUUCACUAAAAAAAGAGAGGCAUAGUUAGACAUGGCAAAAAAAAAUUGGAUUUAUAAGGCUGCUAGAGUCACCUCUCUAUAUUGAAUAAUUGAGCCCAAGGAAGAGACAACAUCGGUCACAAUUGUUGAGACUUUGUGACCAAACUGAAAUAUAUAUUGAGCUUUUAUCAUUCACGAGUUUGUACUUAGCUAGAAACUUCAAGCAUACAUCGAGAAUAAGCAGCAUGUUGUUGUGACCUCGUAUGCAAAAUCUCCAAUGGCUAUACAAGCAUUGUUUGCAAAAGCAAGUUUUUCGCUAUUAAAACUUCCAGUCUAUAGAAAUCACAAAUACGAUCAAAAUUAUGUACAUAUUGUAUUUGUUUUACGUGAGUUUUGGUUAAUAUUUGUAGUCGUUUACUAAAGCUAGCUAAACCAAAUUUUGUUUGGA